CCCUUAGAUGUUCUGGGCCGCACGCGCGCUACACUGAUCAGUGCAACAAGCAUCCGUCCUUGGCCGACAGGCCCGGGCAAUCUUUGAACGCUGAUCGUGGUGGGGAUAGACUUUUGCAAUUUUUGGUCUUCAACGAGGAAUUCCUAGUAAACGCAAGUCAUCAACUUGCAUUGAUUACGUCCCUGCCCUUUGUACACACCGCCCGUCGCACCUACCGAUUGAAUGGUCCGGUGAAGCCUCCGGAUUGGCGUGCACCCUCGGGUGCUGCCGAGAAGUUGGCUAAACCUUACCAUUUAGAGGAAGGUGAAGUCGUAACA
rnacentral:rRNA from 1 species